rnacentral:lncRNA from 1 species
AUCAUUCAACAAGGCAUAUCAUUACAUGCAUAUAUGUUUAUAAUCUUACCUUGGCAAAAUUUGAACAACCACUUAACAUAUAUUUAGCUACCAUAGAAUGACAUACAAGUAUAUCAAAACAACCAUUACUAGUCAUUCCAAUUGCUAGAUUGCAAACAUCAUUUUCAAGCCACUAAUGGACAAGCUGUCCUAUACAUGCCAUUAUACCAUAAUGAUUCUACUAUAUGUAUACCCCAAAAUAACUAGUUAAUAGUGUGAAGAUGCUCCAAUGAUCUCCAACCUUCGUGAGCUUCUGAGCACUAUAAAACAAGGAAAAUAAAAUGGAGUAAGCAUUACAUGCUUAGUAAGUUCGUAUAAUGAAAACUAAACUUACCAAUCCCGUUUAUUAAAUUUAAGCAUACAAUAUCAUGUUUUCCAUCCAUUAGCAAAAUUUCCUAAACACAUGUGUAAACGGGCCAAUUUGCCUGGGCCCAUGUCAAAGCCAAAAUACCAAAAUAAAUCUAAAACCCAUAAAAAUAAAAACCAAUCAAUAGUCCGGGUCCAGUUCCAAAAUCCAAUUACACGGCCCAAAUACAAUGGUCCUAACCCUAGCCCCAUUCGCUCAGUGCCACAGUAGCCUCCAGCACUACCAUGGCUCGCGCCUCCACGUCGACACCACCAGCAGACUCCGUACGCGCCAGCUACCCCUACCACGUUGCCUCCAUACCUGUAAAUGAAGACAAGCAAAGGAUGACCACAACAACAAUAGCAAAAAACAAGCAGAGCAAUGAGAAAAAAAGAAAAGGAAUUGUAUUUUUCUUUGUCAUUUUCUUUGGUUCGGCUAUAAAGCCAAGAACCUUUCCUUUUGUAAAAAACUACGAACACAGACACACACAACAAAAAAAUCAAUACAGAAAAGCUUAAAAAAAAGUCUCCACAAAGUGAUUUGAUUCUCGUUCUUUCUUUCAAUUUAGUUUCUAUUUUCUUUGAUUUAUCUAUUUCAUGAAAAACGAAUAAAAGGGAGGGUGAAUCAAAUACAAAGAAAUCAAUUUUGUUUAAAGAAAAAGAGAGGAGAGCCUUAUCUUGCAGAUAUGCCAAAGGUUCUUCUCACUUUGUUGCAAUCGAAGUUGGAAAUAGAUCUCAAGGCUGAAAGUUCUCCAUCGUUGGUAGGUUCAGGCCGUCAUCUGCACUUUCGGCCACCAGAUCUGGUGGUGGUUCGGCUGCUGCAAGUUUAUGGACUGAAACCUAGUUGAGGGUUAGGAAUUUGGGGGGUUUUUGCUCAGAAAAAUGGUUUUUG